rnacentral:tRNA from 1 species
GGCGCGUUCGUCUAGGGGUCUAGGACACCAGCCUCUCACGUUGGUAACACGGGUUCGAUUCCCGUACGCGCUA